GAUGAACGCUGGCGGCGUGCUUAAUACAUGCAAGUCGAACGGAAAGGCCCUGCUCUUGCGGGGUGCUCGAGUGGCGAACGGGUGAGUAACACGCGAGUAACCUGUCCCUGACUUUGGGAUAACUUCUGGAAACUGGGGCUAAUAUCGGAUAGGAGCUCCUGCUGCAUGGUGGGGGUUGGUAAGUUUCGGCGGUUGGGGAUGGACUCGCGGCUUAUCAGCUUGUUGGUGGGGUAGUGGCUUACCAAGGUUUUGACGGGUAGCCGGCCUGAGAGGGUGACCGGCCACAUUGGGACUGAGAUACGGCCCAGACUCCUACGGGAGGCAGCGGUGGGGAAUAUUGCACAAUGGGCGGAAGCCUGAUGCAGCAACGCCGCGUGCGGGAUAACGGCCUUCGGGUUGUAAACCGCUUUCGCCUGUGACGAAGCGUGAGUGACGGUAAUGGGUAAAGAAGCACCGGCUAACUACGUG
rnacentral:rRNA from 1 species